rnacentral:rRNA from 1 species
AUUGAACGCUGGCGGCAUGCCUAACACAUGCAAGUCGAACGAGUGGCGGACGGGUGUGUAACGUCUGUGAAACUGCCUGAUGGAGGGGGAUAACUACUGGAAACGGUAGCUAAUACCGCAUACCAUCGGAUUUGCCCAGAUGGGCUUAGCCAGUAGGUGGGGUAAAGGCUCACCUAGGCGACGAUCCCUAGCUGGUCUGAGAGGAUGACCGGCCACACUGGAACUGAGACACGGUCCAGACUCCUACGGGAGGCAGCAGUGGGGAAGAUUGCACAAUGGGCGAAAGCCUGAUGCAGCAAUGCCGCGUGUAGGAAGAAGGCCUGCGGGUUGUAAAGUACUUUCAGCGGGGAGGCGUUACCUGCAGAGGAAGCACCGGCUAACUCCGUGCCAGCAGCCGCGGUAAUUC